CCAUUAAUACCUCUUCAAUGCCAAGAGAACUGGAGAAGUGCUUCCCCUGCCCCAAAGAGAAGACAAUCAUUGGAGUAAAGACAUCUUAUAAAGUGAUAGUGGUGGAAAUAUUAAAGGGCAACCUGAGGGGAGAAAGAAGGGACUUCUGUUGCCAGGUGUUGUGAGGACCAAAUGGGAUAAUGGAUUUGAAAAAACUUUAUAAGAGGCAUGGAAAUCUGGAUGAAAGACAAAAGUCAGAAUGACUGGUGAUGGCUCAGGAUGCAGUGAAUGACCAUGAUGUAAUCAUUGUGUGACCAAGCUCUAAAUGCCUCACAGCAUCUGCUUCAGCUACUUUCAUGGACAUUGGAAAAAAUUGUUCUCAUCUGUUCAUUCCACUGGGGAAAUCCUCAUAUGCUUGGGGUAAACAUCCCUCUAACACACCAGUGGGUUUGGGGCUCAUCAUUUGCCCUCAACCUAGUUUAGCCCAUUUCUCGAGAUGUGGUCUCUGUGCAUGCUUCUUGGAAUCACAGGUGAGGACUGUGAGCCUGAUGGACACAAAGGUGGAUGAGUAACCCUGAAAAAAUCUCCGCAAGCCCUUAUUACAAAAGGAGUUAGUCUUCCCUGAACACUCCAAAAGGAUCAGGGUACAGUAGUGAGGACCUACUUGAUAUUCAUUUUAGAUUAGCAUUGAUUGUUAAAUCAGUCAAUUUAUACUAACUUUAGAUGAAUCUUUGGGAAAUAUACCAUUUCAGAAUCUGUGAAAUAAAUUUUA